rnacentral:rRNA from 1 species
AGCAGUAGCCGCGGUAAUACGGAGGGUGCAAGCGUUAAUCGGAAUUACUGGGCGUAAAGCGCACGCAGGCGGAUUGUUAAGUCAGAUGUGAAAUCCCCGAGCUUAACUUGGGAACUGCAUUUGAAACUGGCAAGCUAGAGUCUUGUAGAGGGUGGUAGAAUUCCAGGUGUAGCGGUGAAAUGCGUAGAGAUCUGGAGGAAUACCGGUGGCGAAGGCGGCCCCCUGGACAAAGACUGACGCUCAGGUGCGAAAGCGUGGGGAGCAAACAGGAUUAGAUACCCGCGUAGUCCCUGUCUCUUAUAC